AGCAGAGCAGAGCAGAGCAGAGCAGAGCAGAGCAGAGCGAAAAGGAAGUACUACUGUUUUCCCAGACUAAAAGCAGCCACUUUUAUAUUCCAUGCUACUCACCCUGACCCCCAGAUGAUAACCCAAGGACCACAAACCAGGUGGAAAUGCAGUUAAAUCUGAAUGACUACGCUUGCCCUCUGGCUAUCGGAUCUAUUCUCCAACCCCCAGCAAUGCAUCUCUGUUUGAAGAAGCACAGGCAGUAAUCUGGAGCAGGAAGAGUACAUCCCCAUUCUUU